rnacentral:rRNA from 1 species
UAGGGAAUCUUCCACAAUGGACGCAAGUCUGAUGGAGCAACGCCGCGUGAGUGAAGAAGGUCUUCGGAUCGUAAAGCUCUGUUGUUGGUGAAGAAGGAUAGAGGCAGUAACUGGUCUUUAUUUGACGGUAAUCAACCAGAAAGUCACGGCUAACUACGUGCCAGCAGCCGCGGUAAUACGUAGGUGGCAAGCGUUGUCCGGAUUUAUUGGGCGUAAAGCGAGCGCAGGCGGAAUGAUAAGUCUGAUGUG